rnacentral:lncRNA from 1 species
UUUUUUUUUUUUUUUUUUCAUGAUGAAGUAGAAAGCGUCAUAAUGAGUUCUCUCAAGUCAUUUCCCAUCUAAAAGACUUCAAAUUCACACAGUUUUGGACAUCCUGAAAAACAAUGCAAGCUAGAAGGGCAAACAACUAAUUUGUAAAGGAAUGACGAGGCAAACCAAUUCUUAAUAACCAUAAUUACUUAUUAUUAAUGGCAUGCUUCGAGUUCAUCGGAAGCCAUUUUUCAGCGUAUACAUUAUACAAGUCUACUUAUGAUAGAAUACUUAUUAUUUAGUUGCUAUCUAAUUACUACAAGAAAUUCUUGAUUCAGGUAGGACACUUUGAGUAAUUACUAUUACUUAUGUGGGAGUUUUAAUCAUACAAAAUACAAGUGACAAAAAGUAAAUACUGGAGAUUGACAUCUUAUGCCUGAAGAAAUUACUUUCGGAUGGAAAAAUUUUAUCAUCUUUUUGGAUGAAAAUUAACUAUCAAUUUGACAGUUAGGGGCAGGAGCAAAGUGCAAAUAUAAUGGAUUCAUAGGGCAAAAUGCAACUUGCCCGUUAAUUACAAGGGUGUUUAGCAUAAUUGAGCCAUUCUUUCGUAGGUUGUAUUCAUAAUUUCAGCGCUCCCUCCUCCCUUACUGGUUGCUACAUUAACCACCUCAGACCCCAAAAAAAUAAAAAUAAAAAAAAUCGCAGUUGAUUUCUUCGCGGAAAUCAGUGAAAUGAACAGAGAAAUAGAAGAAAUCCAAGAAGAUUUAUUAGCAAAGGCAGCAAAAGCAGCUGAUGAGCUCUACAACAUUCGGGACACCUACUUUCCUGCGGACCCAAAUGACAAAAUAUCCAAAUUGCAAGCUGAAUCGGAUCUUGUCCUGCAAACCCUCAAUUCCAUUCCUCCAGGUAGAAACAUGUACUUGUGCAUUACAAAUUUAGCAAAUUAGUAAAAAAGUUUACAUUUUUGUUAAUGGGUUUAAGAGAUUUUCCUUUCUGGAUUGAUGUGCAGAAAACAGGAAAUUGCCAAUUCAACGUGCAAUGUACGAGUACUUGAAAGGGAAAGUAUUGGAUGUCUUCUCUGAUUAUAGGAAAGAUGCUGAGGAUCAUCUCUCAAAAGCAGUUAGUAUAAAACAAUUGAUUUGUAUCAAAAGGGUCUUUGUUUCUAUUUUGUCUAUUUUUAAUUGAGUUGUUUGAUUUUGCUGAAAUUUGACUGUUUCUGAAUAAUGGCUUUUUUUUUUAUUUUAACUAUUUUUGGUGCUAAAGGUUAAGUUGAAUCCAUCUCUUGGAGAUGCAUGGUUGAGCUUAGGCAACUGUAUUUGGAAGAAGGGAGAUUUAUCCGCGGCUAAGAAUUGUUUUAUGCUUGCUUUAAGCAAGGUCAUUUAUUUUAUUCUUUCGAAACUUUGUUCAUUUUAUUAGUAGUAUGUUAAGUCAUGCAGUGGUGUAAGUUAGCUAGUUGAUGAUACGAGACUGAUGUUGUUUCUGUUCAGGGCCCCAACAAAAGGAUACUCUGUCAAUUAUCUAUGCUCGAAAGGAAAAUGGCUCAAGGCAAGAAUUUUAUGGAUAUUGUUGUAGUUUUUUUCCAUGUAAUUUUGCUCAUUCUUUGACUGUCUUCCUUUGAGAGAUGGGGGAAUCCAUGACUGAAUGACUGAGUAUGGUGAAGCUGAAGGACGUGCCAAAUUGUAAAUGUGAAUUUAUAGCUGUUGAAAGUCAGAGAUCCUUACUUUAGAAUCUAGCGUAGUAAGAUUUUGAGUAUUACUUGAGGUAGGUCAUCAUGGUUUUUGAAAAUUUUGAGCUUAUUCAAGCGAUUAGGGAAAUGUGGCUAGCCGGAUAUCCUUAGUCAUGGAGCGUGACUCAUAUGUUGGUUCUGGCUUUGUUGCAAUGUGACCUCGAUGAAUAACUGUUCUCUUUGAGACUUUGACUGCUAAAUUUCCUAUAUCUUUUGUCACAAUAGAUACCUUUGCCCAGCUAAACGUAACACUGAUCAAAUCAUUUAUCACGUAUUGCCUUUUCGAUAUUGGGAAAGAGUAAAAAAAUAAGAGGGUUGAAACACCAUGGCAUGUUCAAGCUUCUUUGCUGCUUUGGUCCAGUACACAGCAGAAAAUAUUCUCUGGACCUCCUGCAGUGAUAUGAUCUUAGAUGGUUGAAGCUUCAACUUCCGCACUUCUCUGGUAGUUUAUUCUGAUUCUCUGUAAAUCCAUUGUGGCCUUUUCAUCGAGGAUUAUCAUGGAUAUGCUUUAACAACUUUAAUAUGAGGAGAUAAUUUUUAUCUAUACUGUUACACAGCUGUUACUCAUAGAAGAACUAGAUAUGUUAUGAUGCCUCUAUUCAAAUAGACUGAAAAAGAGUAACAACUUUAAAUAUCCUAAUGGCAGUUUCAACUCUGACAUCUCCAUGUCUUUAUCCAAAUUUCACCAUACAAGCCUUAUUGACAACACAACUCCACUUUUUCCUUAUACUCUUUGCUGCUCAUAUGUAUCCCUGCUUACAAUUCGUAAAAAUACCAGUGAUGAAUUUAGCUGAUGACUUCUUCUUCUAUUCUGCUCAUCAGAUUCAUUAUCCACUUUCCAGGUGCUGAAAAACAGGCAGAAAUUGUUGAAGAGAGCAUUAAACAUGCAAGGGAAGCUAUUGCUCUUGAUGUCAGGGAUGGAAAUUCCUGGUGUGAGUUUCUAUUAUAAGUCAAAUUCUUCUGUACUUCCUUUUCUAAUUUAUUAGUUAAAGAUCUGGUGUAGGGUAUUUGCAUUGCUUGGCAGAGCGUAUGCUUUAGUUUGAGCCUUUGUUUGUGAAACUGAAUGUUAGCUGUAAAACCUGCCUACUAACAACUAGAGUAGUCCUUGUCUUCUCACUUAACAUUCCAAAUCAACAUGCAUGCUUGUGUGGACUCUGGCAUCAGUGAAUGGUUAGGACUGAAAAGUGUUGAUUCAGCCUUCAUCUGAAGCAAAGAUCUGGAGACAUGGGAGAGUAUUACCAACUUCUAAUGCUGAGAUAAUGAUAACUUUAACCCUUCAAUUCCUGUCCAUCUAUCGUGUGUUUAAUAUGCUUUGUGGUUGAUAAUGUUGACAUUUGAUAUACAAGAUGGCCUUUUUAUGCUUAUUCAAGUCAUAUGCAAUAUUAUUGUCUGAUGUUGACAGGAGACUUGAUGCAUUCUUGAAGAGUCUCUAAGACAUGCUGUGGGUGUAAUCAACAUACUCAUUGUUCUCACCUACCAACCCUUAAAAAGUAGAACUAAAAAGAAAAGGGAGACUUAAGAUGCUAAAAGCUAGAAACACAUGGUACUGAUAGAUUUCCUUUUAUUUCAGGAUUAUGGGUACCUUGUUGUUGAGAGACCAAGAAUAAUCAUGCCUAUCUACCAGACAUUUUGAGCAUACAGCAGUUCUAUGGCUAAUAGUUACAUAUAUUGUUUCAUGUUUUCAUCUUUGGCAGAUAACCUAGGGAAUGCAUGCCUAACCUCUUUUUUUGUUACCGGAGCAUGGGAUCACAGUAAACUUCUGCAGUCACUGAAAGCAUAUCAAAAUGCUGUAUGUAUGAGAUAAUAACUUAUACAUCCUCCGCGUGAUGUAUUUCUACUCUCUGAAUUGUUAUUAAGCCUGUAAAAUAUUUCUAUUCUGCAUAUCAGGAGAGAGAUGAGACAAUGAAAUCCAGUCCAGACCUGUAUUUCAAUUGUGCUACUGUAAGCAUUUGUUCAACACUUUAAAUCUUUGCUUUUCUUUAAGUUUGUGUGAUUCUUUUUGUGCUUUCUAGCUUUUUUUUUUAAUGAUAAUCUAUAAAAGUUACACAGAGGACCUAAUUGAAUGAAUAAUUAUAGCUGUGAUUCUCAAAAUUUAACUGACAAGUUUCAUGAAUUAUGCGGAGGACAGAAAGUAGUACUCGCUUUGUAUUAGCAUUAAAGAUGCUUUUCAAAAUUCCAUGUUUUUGUGUAAGGUAGCUCAUCUUGCUUGGUUUCGAGAUCUUAUUCCAGCUUUGCCCAAAACAUUGUCAUUUUUAAGUCAGCUAUGUCUUUUAAGUUCCAAAAAUGUUUGUAGUGGGUGUGAUUUCAAGCUUUGAUGAGAUGAAACUUUUGAUUCUUGGAGAGGUUAUAACACGCGGAGUGACGAACCCCAAAGUUGAUUGUUAUUUGCAUCUUGUGCAAUAGUAAGAUUCCUUUGGGGUCCCAUGUGGUCAGUUUUGCUCCUUUAAAGACCUCAUUUGUGGGUAACUUUGAAACUACGCAAGGAAAAAAUUAGUGAUUCGAUUUUUGGGUAGUCAAAAAGGAUGUCAUUUGGAAGUUACAAACCAAAGUUUUGAGCUUUUGUAUUAACCUGCAGUAGCCAUGAUGUUAAUGGUCAGCUAACUAGCUGUCUUGGAGAGAGGAAAACAAAAUACUGAAGUAAUGGAACAAAGCCAGUGAAGAUGAUGCAGUUUCACAAAAAAUUAGAAGUUGACAGUCAGAGAGGAAAGCUUUAGUUUUACUAGUUUAGACAACCUCUGGAUCAAAUUUUGGCCCUCUGAUACCUUUUUGUGUAAAAAAAGGCUAUGUAAUCAGAAUAUUGACCAUAUUCUUGAGUUCUGUUUACCAAGGAUCAGCCAUCAGUGGUAUCAAGUAUGUACUCUUAAAACUCGUGCUUUAGUCCAUACUCCAGCUACUUUUAAUUCCAGAAUCAUUUAGUUUUUGGCUUGAACAAUGUCUAGACACAUAACUGGAAGAUCUCAUCAGAAAACAGUUUGGCAUAUUUUUAACUGUUUUUGUUGUUCAUUUCCUCAGCUUGUAAUUGUUUUGACCAAGAAGUUUAAUGCUUUUACAAAUUAUUUUCAUUCAAAUGAAAUUCCGUGAAUACUUAUUUCUUUCUGUUAUCAUUUAAUUUAGCAGUUAAAAUUAAAAUGAAAUUUUGUUAGGAGGCUUCUAUUGAAGUUAAAAUUGCUUUUACAUUCAGGGCUUUCCCCUGCAGUGCACAAUAUCUGCAGAUGUGGAACAUGUUUGAACUUCCACUGGGUCUAGUUAAACUGAAUCUAUUCUUCACUGUGCUUUUGUAUGCUUGUAAAAUUCAAAUCUGUAUUCUUUCAUUGUAAAAUGCAUUUGAAUUCAUUACUUGCAUCUGCUUUGCUUCUUUAUAAUGUAGAUGCUAAGAAGGAAUCAGUGUUUGACAUGGCUGAGAAUUAUUCGUUCAGGUGAACAAAUAUUUAGAGAACUAUGAGAGAGCCCUUACUGGAUUUGAAGCGGCUGCCUUGAAGGAUCCUGGCUUAAAUGCCAUGGAGGAAGUUGAGAAGAUAGUUCAUCUUCUUGACAAAUUGGAGAGUUUGCUAAAGGUUAGUUGUUUGUCUCCAUGAGGUAUAAUAAAUAUUUGGACCACAUUGAUGCUGCUCAAAUAAACCUCAUUUCCUCUUGCUUAUAACACUGUUGGUUUGCUUGUAUUUAAAUAUUUUACAAUGUCCUGAUGAGUGAAAAGAAGAAGAAAAUUUUAGAAGCUAAGGAAGAAAUUAAAAUCUGCUCAAAAUGAUUAAGCUUUAUCGUUACCUAGACUUCAAGUGAUUUAGUGCAUAUGAGUUGAUCAAAAUUAGUUAUGGAAAGAAGUCUAAAUUAUCAGUUGAUGAUAGUAUUGAUUCCGAAGGAGCUUGAUCAUAUUGAUGAUAAGGUAUCUAGCCAGUAAUGUCAAAUGUGGAUAGAUUAAUAAUGAAAAUUCUAGUGUUCGUUUCUUGCAAUUAGUUCCAUUCAAUGAUUAUAAAUAUGCUUGUUUAGUAGAAUAGAACGUGGAGUCUUUGCACCAUGAAAUUGGAAGUAUUUUGUCAUGCUGAUAAUUGCUACUUUUUCUCUCUUUAUAUCCCACAUGCAUACUGCGCAAGUGAAUUAUCAAGUUCAACUGGGUACAUGGGUCAGAACAAGAAUACCUGUAUGUAGAUUUGAACAAAGCUAGUGCCACCAAUAAAUAAGAUGGAUAUGUUUAUAUACAGAGAAGAGUAGGGGCUGGAUUUAGCAGACGCUAGUUGGAGCAUGGUUUGUGUUUGAAGUUAAGCAUUACUAUCUUAAGAAAUCCAUCUUUGACUACUUGCUGGGAAAAUUUUAUAUCCGCAAUAUACCUAGGGUGGAUCAUAGUGUAAUCUGGUUGUUCCAGAAUGCUCAUUUCCCCUACAAGGGGCAAACUUGGUAAGGGCCAAAUAGUAGGCUUAGCCUAUAGGACCAGAGCACACAGUAAACAAUUUGAUCAAUCACACCACCGUCAGGUUUGACAGUCAUUGUUGAUCUAAGCAUUUGGCAUCAAUUCUAAAUAUUAUUUUUGACGCUCAAAAUGAUAACAAUGUAACUGUGGUUUGUUCAUUUUUAUGCUCUAUUAGAACAGAUAGCUGAGCAUUGCAUUUUGAGGCAUGCAGACAUUUCCAAUUCUAAUAUGUUUUUGUUUUAUAGGGACAAACUAAGGCUAAGCGACUUGCUUCAUUGGCGUCAUCACUUUCCACUGUAAAUGGUAUGCCAGAAUACUGAUUCUACACAUGUCCUGAAAAAAUUGUUUGUUCAACAUGUUUACGUGAUGACAGAACAUGCUUGAAGUUGCAACCUGAUACAUGCAAUUUCAAUCAUUUGUUGUCUCCUGUGAUUAAUCCAUGUUAAUUUUUUUUAUUUUCCUAUCUGUAGUAAAUCCUUCAUAUAUUCAAGUCAGUGUGGAUCGUCUAGCAGAAGGUUUAAAUAAAGGGGUUGCCAUCGUGGGAAAGGUUCUAUACUUUGUUAAACACCAAAACGUGGCUCCAUUGUGAGUACUUCGCUAGUUUACUUCUCUCCAACUAUUUUGCAUAACAGUUGAGUUGCCACAUAGUUUCACUUUGAAUUGCAGCAUGCACAUGUUUACGUUCAAAAGCAUGCCAUUUUUUUUUUUUCCGUUUCUGAGACGUAUUAUAUUGCAGAUACUAUUUGCUCUGUGAUGCAAAUCAAAUAUGCUAUGUUUUAUCAGUCUAUGGGAUACGUGAUGAUGUGGUAAGUUUUGCCUGGCAAUGAUGAAAGCAUCUUUAUAAGGAAAAAGUUGAUAUUUCACUUGAGUUACAUUUUUCCCUACUGAAAGAAGCCUAAUAAUUUGUCAUGUGAGUAAUGUUUCUAAAUUUCCCGAACAGCCUUAAUUUCUUUGUUUGUUUAAUUUUCUUUGGCUUGUGGUUUGAGUUGAAAGGGGUAGACAAGAAAGAAGGAUGGCUCUACUUGAUUCAUUCCCUCUGUGGUCUCUCUUAAAGUUAUAGGAAAUAUUGUCACAGAUUUUAAUCCAUGAAUUAUGUUUAUUGAAAACAAAUUAGGGAUGCUUACAACCAAGAAUGCAUUGUCCUUGCUAGUUUUCCCUUUCACCAUGAGGUUGAUUAUGACUCACCUGCAGGCCAAUGAAGUUAACCCUCUGAAGUUAUUAAAGAAACUCCCCCUCCCCAUUCUGCCUCUGUCUGUGUCUCUCACUCACGUGUAGGAUGGAAAGUUUCCAGCCAUGCUCUCCUUGUUUCACAUGAUCCCAUAUUCAUCUAAUGAUAUGUUCAUUGCAGGUUAAAGAAGGAGACCAGAUCAUACUGCUGAGUCCCUAUUUCCAUAAUGUUGAUUUCUCUUGGAAUGGAAAGGUGUGCUCUUGACACUUUUUGUCAUCAAAAUCAAUCCAUUUCCCAUCAUCGUUUAAUUUUGGAAAAACAUUCACGUUUCCUUUCUACAGCAAUGAAAAGAUUGAUUCUGCUAAUAUCAUCAAUAAUGAUAUUGUCUCAGUAGCUAGUAAAGUUGGUCGUGUAAAAUAAUUACCAUUUGUAUGGUUGAUUUUGUAUCAGAUCUACCAGUUCAAAUCAGUACGUGUAGACUUCUUGGAGCAAAUGCUUGUUAAUGGAAAAGCUUUGUCUCAUAGCCAGGCAGUUCGAGCAUCGAUCUAUGCACAACAUAAGCCUUGAGAUUGCUUUUCAUUAUUGUUGUGGAUGUUACAUGUGUGAUUUAUAGUGGAAGUCAAGAUAAUCCUGCCGCGAACGAAGUGUCUUUUGUAUAUAGAACUGCAGCACAGAGUAAAGAAAUUUGCGCAUGUAACAUCAUGAAUUCUUCUCUCUUGUAUCCGUGGUAAAGAGAGAACAUGAAGGAAGAAAGCAAGGCCAGUGGUUCAUGAUUGCAGGGUCUGUGCUGCGAUUAUUGAUGAUGAAUAUGUACAAAUUGCGAAGGGGAGAGGCGGGAUUUUUUUUUUUUUACAUGAAAACUUUUUUAUAUUUAGCUGCAAAGAGUUUUUUCUUCCCCCUAUUUUCUUCCUUUUUUUUUAUUUUGCAUCUUUUGUUUUAAUGAGCAAAAAGUUCACCAUAUUUGAUUGCUAAUUUGUACUUAGAGCAGAGCUUGUGAGCAAAAGCUCCCUCCCCAUUCAAAUUGAUUUUUCCAUCUCAUUCCAUUUGUUGGAAAUUCUUCCAAGUGGCCACUAUGACUCUUUGGGCAGGCCCAAAUUCCCACACCUUCCAAUUAAAAAAAUUCAGUCCGAUCUAGAUGGGCCCUUUUCUAGUCUCACGAAACCGAGUCAGGUCCUUUAUCCAUGACUAUAGUUGUUGUCAUUUCUAAGUAAAAAAUUUAAUCUCGUCCAUUAAAAGUGGGCAGUAAAAGAAGGUGGAAAACUGUAGUAUGUAAAUAGUAAGUCAAUAGAGGUGGGGAGGGAUGGGUUGGGUGAUUUAGAGAAGAAGUAUAAGUGAGAGUUUUCUAAUAGUACACCACGGCUUCAUAUCUUCACAACUCAUUUUGGGUCUUCUUGUUAUUUGAGGAAGAAAUUAAUAAGUUAUUACGUGACAAACUAUAUUAUUAAUUAGGACCUCUGCGGUAUAUGCAUGCAUUUGACGUCUUUUUCACCAAAACAUUAAAAAAAAAAAAAAAAAAAAGCACAACGCGAGUGAUUGAAACAUACGUUUGACACGAUCUUCACGGGGUUGUUUGGUGUAUCUGCUUUAGUUUAUUAAGAAUGCUGAUUCUUCAUUAUAAUAAUGCCUGUCAUCAAAAGGACUUAAAGAUGUACUUAAAAUAAAUCGACUGUACUAAGCCAUGAUAAGGAAAGAGAGACAGACGGAUAGAUAGGGAAAAUGUCUGAAGCAUGUGCCAUGAAGGGAGGAGAUGGACCUCAAAGCUACGCCCAAAACUCAUCCUAUCAGAUAGCAAGUUUUCUUCUGUGGGUCUUUUUCACUUCAACUUUUCUGGGAAAACGUUUUUUUUUUUCUAUUUAUAUUCACUUAGUUUAAUUGAUAAAAGAUUUUAAUGCUAAGGCCACUAUUGUUUCAAGCCUUUGUUAGACUAGAAUCGUCUAAAGGUAUUGCAGAAAUUGCGCAUUAUACGCCUUAAGGUGUGCAGAUCUAUGUUUUUAGACUCGGACUGGGUAUCGACUCGGUCAAAUUCAGGGAUCAGGAAUCAAUGGGUUCGACUAGAUUCGAUAGGGGUUGAAUCGGAUGACGUCAUAGAUAAAAAUUAUUUAAAAAUUAAAAUAUUGUAUGUAAAAUACCUAAGAGCAUGUUAAUAUUAAUAAAUGUAUAUUCAUAUAUAUUUGAUGUUUCAAAUAUAUUUAACAAGAAAAUACAAUAAAAUUAGAAAGAUCAAGUAGUAAUUUAUAUUAUUUAAUGAACAUUAACAAGUUUAGAAUUAAAAUUAUGGACUUGAUUGAAAAUAACAUCAAAUUUUAGGACAAAUUUAUAAAGUAUGAAAUAUUUGAGGUAUAUUAAUAAUUUUUAAUAACUUAGGGGUCAACACAUAAUAUUAAAAAUGUUUGACCUUUUUUGAAAAAGGUUUUGAUUGAACUGGUUCUUCCGAUUUUUAAAAAUUGGGUUUGACCGAAUUUUACUCAUCCAAUUUUUUAGAAUAAUUCAGACCGGACACUUGGUCGAUUCCCGAUUCGACUAGUCAGACCGGCCGAUUCAGUCUGAGUUUAAAAACACAAGUGCAUAUAUGAGGUUAAGGAAGACUUUGGCUAAAUGAUAAGAUGAAGGAGAUUAUAAGUAAAAUAUUUUUUAUUCAAAGCCGGUGUGUAAAUCUUUUAUAGUAAAAGUUGAUUUUUUUAUAGUAAGUGGUUGAUAAUUCAAACUUGCGAUCUGGUAGUUAUAGAUUGAAAAAAACUGAUUUUUUUAAAUGUAUAUUUCUUCUACUUUUUGGGUUGCAGGAAGGAGCAAUAGACGUUGAAAAAUAAAUUAUCAACAAAGAAAUUGACCCAAAAAAAACUUGAUGUUGAUCAACUUAAGUGAAGAGCUUAUACAUGUCAAACAAUUUUAAUAGAAAAUAUUUCAAGAAAAGGAACACGGCCCACUUAUUAUAAUUCUCAUGACAUUAAUUUUAGUGAAUUUGGCCCUGAACGAUACCUCUACAAUAAGUUACAUUUGGUCACAGAUAACUAGUACUCCCUCCGUCCCAUUGAAACUGUCAUAUUUUUCAUUUUGGUCAGUCCCAAAAUGUUUGUCACAUACUUAAAAUGGCAAAUGAAUUUUUCUUCUUCUUCCAAUUUUACCCUUCUGACACUGCCUUUUAAAUAUGUGGAUCCAGCAUAAAUUGUCAAAAGAACAAGAUACGCUUUGAAGUGCGUGGCUGAUGCUAGCCAAUGUUUACUAGCGCGUGCAGUGCAAAAUAAGCAAAAAGUUAGUGUAGCUUUAAUAAUGUAGUGGGCCCAAAGUGUUGACUAGUUUGCAUAAACCAUUUGAAUAACUUCAUCCGCACCACUAUAGUCAAAAUUUGGACAGCUUGACGAGGAUAAUUUAGGAAUUACAUACAGCUAUCUCUUAUUCUUGUUUACUAUUGAAAAAUAUUCCAAUUCCCGAAAAGUGAGUACAACUUUGUGUCUACCGACAGAUUGGCUUGUCAUUUUUGUGGUUGCUAUCUAUUACAAUUGUCGUAAUGCUAUCUGGACCGAAUUGGCUAAAAUACAAACACUUAUCUGGAAAUGGCUAGCUGGUAUAAAUCACUCCAUCCAUUUGGGCAGGGAAACCAAGACAUAACAAGGGAAGAGAUAUAGUGAGAUUAAAUGCGUGUACUUUGUGCCAUAAUGGAGGAAAUGGACCUCAAAGCUAUGCCCAAAACUCAUCCUAUCAGGUAGCUUUUUUUGGGUUUUUACAGAUUUGUUUUCAAUUAAUUUAAAGACAAAGGGAUUUCAAGCUUUGGGCCGGUAAAAUUAUAGACACUGCAAAUGGUGCAAUGAUCAUUCGACAAGUCUUAAGGUUUGUAAUAUAAGGCUUGUGUCCUAAAGCUUAUCUAUUAUUUAUUUAUUUAUUUUCCCUUAUGGUUGCAGAGAGGAGCAACAGAAGUUGCAAAAGAAAUUAUCAGAGAAGAAAUUGACAAAAAGCUAGACAUCAAACAACUUUCUUCAACCUCUAUGGAUCCAUUUUGCAUAGCAGAUUUUGGCUGCUCCACAGGACCAAAUACAUUUGUGGCAAUGCAAAUCAUCAUUGAAGCCAUUGAGGACAGAUUCAAAAAAGAGGGACUAACACCUGAAUUUCAAGUCUUCUUUAAUGACCUUGUAUCUAAUGAUUUUAACACACUUUUUGCUUCACUUCCGCCAGAAAGACACUACUGUGCUGCUGGAGUGCCUGGUUCUUUUCACAGUGUCAUGUUCCCAAAGGCAAGCCUUCAUUUUGCUUAUUCAUCUUACUCGCUUCACUGGCUUUCAAAGGUGCCAAAAGAGGUUACAGACAAUACGUCUCCUGCAUGGAACAAAGGAAAGAUUCACCAUGGCGGUGCCAAAAGGGAAGUUCUUGAUGCCUAUGCAUCUCAAUUUGCCAAGGACUUGGACUCAUUCCUGAAUGCAAGGGCACAUGAGCUCGUGGAUGGAGGCCUGAUGGCACUUCUUAUACCUGCUGCUCCUGAUGCUAUUCGUGAAUCUCAUACCAGUACAAUCACAGAGGUAGAAUGUGAAGUUCUAGGAUCUUGCUUGAUGGACUUGGCUAAGAAGGUGAGAUUUUAGCAUUCUAGUUAGUUUUAGACACUGGCGAAAUCAGAAGUUGAAAUUUGGGUUGAAGACUAGAAAAGACAUAUAAUUAUAUAUAUAUUCUCAUUCUUUUAUUUUUAUUUUUUUACCUUCCAACAUAUUUAUUUAUAUACAUUUAUUUAUUUCUCUAAUUUUUUGUCAAAGAAUUGUACAUGAAUGAAUAUGUUUCAUGCUCUUUUUGACUGUUAGAAUAUUAUGCUUUUUUGUCCUUUUUCAUUUUCUUUUUUAUAUAUUUCAUAGUUCAAAUAUUUAAUAUAAAUAAUUAAUAGUUGUUAAAUAAUUAUGACAUCACGAGUCAAUUAAGGUUCGUCCAACGAUUGAACCAAUAAUUUUUUCGAGUCAAUAAAAGGGCUGUUUUCAAAACCUUACUGUAUCCAUUGUAGGGAGUAGUCGACGAAGUGAAAGUGCAUAUGUUCAACUUGCCAGUAUAUUUCACAUUUCCCAAUGAGGUAAAGGCACUGCUGAAGGCAAAUGAAAAUAUGGACGUCCAGAGAAUGGAGAUACUAAACAUUCCAGGAAAGCAAGAGCUUUUUCCCAACCCUACUGCAAAUGUUUUGUACCUGAGAGCUGUCUUACAAGGAGUUGUGGAGAAGCAUUUUGGAAGUGGAAUCGUGGAUGAAUUGUUUGAACUGUAUGGACGAAAAGUUGCAGACUCUUCUUUUUUCUUUGAUCCAGAAAAUCAAGAUCUGAUCGUGAUUUUUGUGCUGCUAAGGCGAAAAAUGAGAACAUGAAUAAAAUGUGCAAAUGAGAGUUAAAUGUCUAAAGCCAUAAAAAAAAAAUUUUUUUUUUUUUUGGCAAGUAGAAGUUUAAUAUGUCCCGUACUACAACAUGCGCUGCAAUUUAGUUUUAUCAUUUAGCUUUUUGCCAAGUAAUAGUCCUGCAAAGGAUCGUCGUGAAUACGAUCACUUUUGCCAACCAAGAAAAAAAGAAGGAAAACUAAAAACUCAUUUCAUAGUGAGUGAAAGAAUAACGUAAUUUUGAUUCCUCAUGGUCAUUUGCUCUAAACUCAAUCUCUUUUUUGAAUAAUUUCGUCGCGAAUAAACCAUAUAUCUCUAAAAAAUAAGCCGUGCAAGGCAAUGCGCCGAUUGGGCAACAAUUUACAUGGGAGCAAGCAAUCAUGAACAAUCUCCCCUUCCAGCGAUGAACCCAUAAACAUCCACGAUCGAUCAAUCAUUUGCCAGUCAAAACCUGUUUCCCAUAGAAAUAACGGUAAACGAGUAGUAGUCUAUUAUCCACAAGCUAUUCAUUUGUUCAGACUGAUAAUAAGAAAGGGGAAUCAAUUCCUAUCUACUCGGAACAGAGAACUUACAUAUAGCAUUUCAUAGCUGACCAAAUUAAGAAUCAAUUUGAUGUUUCGGAUGUCAGAAAGUGACCGUCUGACUGAAGAGAAAAAGGAAAAGAAAUACGAAAAAAGACACAAACGCAGGUGCCUAUACACGCAAGUAUAGUUAUCAGGCAAGCUUUUUGUUCAUCACAGACUCAAUAGACCCAUUUAUAAGUUGAUAAA